rnacentral:rRNA from 1 species
UUAAAGUAGUAAGGGCGCAGGGUGGAUGCCUUGGCACUAAGAGCCGAUGAAAGACGUGAUAAGCUGCGAAAAGCUUCGGGGAGGAGCACAUAUCCAAUGAUCCGGAGAUAUCUGAAUGGGGAAACCCGGCAGAGGAAACCUCUGUCAGCGUGCAGUGAAUACAUAGCUGUACGUGGGGAACCCGGGGAACUGAAACAUCUAAGUACCCGGAGGAAGAGAAAGAAAAUUUAUCGAUUUCCAAAGUAGCGGCGAGCGAAAUGGAAAGAGCCCAAACCGUGAUGCGUGCAUCGCGGGGUUCGGACUGCGUUGUGGCAGACGUAAGAUAGGAGAACGGACUGGGAAGUCCGGCCGGAGAGAGUGAAAGCCUCGUAUCCGAAAUCCCAAGUCGCCUAGCAGGAUCCAGAGUAGGACGAGACACGAGAAACCUUGUCUGAACGAGCGGGGACCACCCCGUAAGGCUAAAUACUUCUUAGUGACCGAUAGCGCAUAGUACUGUGAAGGAAAGGUGAAAAGUACCCCGGGAGGGGAGUGAAAGAGAACCUGAAACCCUGUGUCUACAAGCUGUGGGACCUCUUUAUAUGAGGGACUGCGUACUUUUUGUAGAACGGUCCGGCGAGUUGUGCGUACUGGCGAGGUUAAGGACUUAAGGUCUGGAGCCGAAGUGAAAGCAAGCGUUAAUAGCGCGUCAAGUCAGUGAGUGCAGACCCGAAACCGGGUGACCUAUCCAUGUCCAGGUUGAAGCUUCCGUAAGAGGAAGUGGAGGACCGAACCCACAUCCGUUGAAAAGGGUGGGGAUGAGGUGUGGAUAGCGGAGAAAUUCCAAUCGAACCCGGAGAUAGCUGGUUCUCCUCGAAAUAGCUUUAGGGCUAGCCUCAUGAGAGUCUUAUGGAGGUAGAGCACUGAAUUGCCUAGGGGGCGUCAAAGCUUACCAAAGCAUAUCAAACUCCGAAUGCCAUCAAGAUGAUUCAUGGGAGUCAGACCAUACGAGAUAAGUUGGAUGGUCAAAAGGGAAAGAGCCCAGACCUACAGCUAAGGUCCCAAAGUGCGUGUUAAGUGGAAAAGGAUGUGGGGAUUCUAAGACAACUAGGACGUUGGCUUAGAAGCAGCCAUUCAUUGAAAGAGUGCGUAAUAGCUCACUAGUCGAGAGUCCCUGCGCCGAAAAUGUCCGGGGCUGAAACACGACACCGAAGCUUAGGAAUGUGUAAACAUUGGUAGAGGAGCAUUGCUAGCGGGAUGAAGCCAUACCGUAAGGAGUGGUGGACUGCUAGGAAGAGAGAAUGCCGGAAUGAGUAGCGAGAUGAAGGUGAGAAUCCUUCAGGCCGAAUAUCUAAGGUUUCCAGAGUAAAGCUGAUCUGCUCUGGGUAAGUCGGGACCUAAGGCGAGGUCGAAAGACGUAGUCGAUGGAUAACAGGUUGAAAUUCCUGUACCGCAUAUAAACAGAACUGUGGGGACACAGACAGGGAAUGGAAUCCGGGAAUGGAAAUCCCGGUGCAAGCGAGGUAGGAGUGCUGUUGGCAAAUCCGCAGCACGAUCUGAAGACGUGACGCGUACCGAACAUAAGUAGGGAAGUCCAGGCCCCUGGCUGUCAAGAAAAGCCGCUAUUGUUUUAUAUGUGCCCGUACCGCAAACCGACACAGGUGGAUGAGGAGAGAAUCCUAAGGCCGACGGGAGAAGUAUUGUUAAGGAACUCGGCAAAAUGACUCCGUAACUUCGGGAGAAGGAGUGCCAUGAGAGUGGCCGCAGAGAAAUGGCCCAAGCAACUGUUUAGCAAAAACACAGGUCUAUGCAAAACCGCAAGGUGAAGUAUAUGGGCUGACGCCUGCCCGGUGCUGGAAGGUUAAGGGGAGAUGUCAGGAGACGAAGCAUCGAACUUAAGCCCCAGUAAACGGCGGCCGUAACUAUAACGGUCCUAAGGUAGCGAAAUUCCUUGUCGGGUAAGUUCCG